ensembl:lncRNA
CCACACAUUAAAUUUAGAUUGUGGGGGUUUGUUUUGUAUAGCUCCGCUGUUAGAAAAUACAUGAUGGUUGAAUGUGAACAUAAAUGAGCAGAAUGUAAGCUUGUGAAAUAAAUUCAACUUUAUUGAUUGCACUUUUUGAGAAAAUGGCAUGACUUUGAAUAAAACUUUACUGAAAUAAAUACUCUAAAACAUUGAUAUACCCGAAGAAAUGUAAAAAAGAAAAAAUAAUUUAAAAAACUUUUUACAUACCUUCUAAAUAGGUCCCUUUAGGAGGUAAACGUUUUAAAGACGGUGUUUUAUAAGAAACGCGCGUAUUACAUGCCUUCUAAACCUAACCCUUUAGGAUGUAAAAUGCUGCUUAAAAGAAUCGAGAGUUUUGUUUAAACUAGAAGACACAUUUUCCGGGGAAUGUCUUGUAGGCCUAUACACAGUGUCCUACACAUCUGAGGUGUGUGUGUGUGUAUGUGGGCAUGGGGGGUGUGCGUGCGUGCGUGUGUGUGGGUGUGUUAGAGAGAGAGAGUCGAGUGUUUCCUGGGGGUUUGCUGACCAGACUGCUUACAGUGUGUUUAUGUUCAUGAAUCAAGGUACGAGUCGUGUGUUUUAGGGUUUAACGAUCCCUACCAAUGUGUACAUUUGUGGUUUAAGUGAAUCUUUGUUUCUGAAAUUACUUCUGUGGUAAUUAUCAGUUUGUGUAACUAAUCUAUCAGAAAUACUAGACCUGGUGACUGAAUGUGGUAGAUGUAUUAGAAUUUUGGACAUGUUAUGCAUGUGUAGCUCCCUAUGUGUAUGAUCUAUGUGUAAUCCUUCUGUCAAGAAAUGAACAGACUGAGGUUUGUGAAAUAAUUGAACUGUUUAUUGGCUACGUUGUUGAGAAAAACACUGUGAUGUGUAAAACAUUUCUACAGUCCUUCAAGGGUUAGGAAGCAGAAAAACAUUUAAAGACGGUGUUUUAAAAGAGUCGUGCAUUUUGUUUAAACUAUAAACGAGAUUUCAGAAAAUGGUCCGCCAACGAGGAUACUUACACAGAACUAUCGCUAAAUACAUAAGCUUUCGUCUAUGCUUGGACAUCCCAUGUCCCAGCAGUACAUUUAUG